GACAAAUUAAUGCCAAAGGAAGGGCUGCAUUGUAGUGCCUAUGAUUUGUUGCAUGUGUAUUGCGUGGAACGCUUGAGGAAAGAGCUCGAUUCCAUCCUAUAUAUCGGUAACCAUUAUCUCUAGCUUCAAAAUCCCAAACAAACCCAAACGACGCUGGUAACCAAGAUCCCCAACAAAGACCUAUAUCUCAAUGAAUUUGUUUGGGUCUCAGCAAAUUGGGAAUUCCGAGCCAGAGAUGAUAAUGUAUGUUCUCUCCGUAGGCAUAACGGAAACAUUCCUUAUAGUAAGUUCUUUUCGUACCUCAGUUACCUUGAUUUUAUUACACUUGUAUAAAUCUGAAUGUUGCUAAUCAGACACCUUCCACCUCAGUUGACAUGUUUCAGGGUUCAAUAGCUCGUUCUAGAAGAGGAUUGAUUAGUGCACUGAGGUGAUAAAGAGCAUAAACAACUGCUAAAGCCCCAAGACAUAAAGCCCCUCCCUUGGUACGAUCCAGUUUACCGUCACGUCAACCCCCACCAAGUGGAGUAGCUUAGACAAGUCAAGCUCCCAUCACUCGCAUUCGAGACCGAGCUUUUCAAUACCAGAGAUCCAGCUCGCUUGAAUUGUCUUCAUCGUGCUAGCUGCUACCAUAGCUGCUGAAGAGGAAGAUGA
rnacentral:lncRNA from 1 species